AUUAAAGUUGGAGGUCUUUGAGAGGGUAUUAGAAGGAGUCUUUGCUUUACUGGUUGAGUUUCCUUGUUCUAGGUUUGCUAGAGCGAAGAAAGCUAGGCAAGUUGUUAGUGAAACAAUGAGGUUGUCCCCUAUCAGUCUCCGGUUCCUUAAGAAAAGCAAUUGCUGAUAAGAGGCACCCAUUCAGGUCCGGUUUUGACCACAUACUCAAGAAACAUUAGUUCGGGGGCCUACAAUUUUAAUACACUUUAAAGCCUACAAUUUAUAUAAGAAUGAAUCAUAAUCAAGUAUGUAAUAUAAUGAAUUUUGAAUAUUUUUUCCUUACUUUAUAUAAAAAGAUUAAAAAUGAUAACGUUUAGAAUUGAUAAACUCUUAUUAUUCUUAAUGAUAUUGAAAAUUUUAAUUUUGACUUUUAGCAAAUUAAAUAUUUUAAUUAUCUUUUAGGGCCUAUAUUUUCUUUGUAUGACGUGAAAUAUCUCAGGACCGGCAUUGCACUCAUGGCAUCUCUCUAGAUCCUUUCAAGAAAUACUAAUAACAUAUUUUACGGUCUGCAGU
rnacentral:lncRNA from 1 species